rnacentral:rRNA from 1 species
UACAGAGGUGGCAAGCGUUGUUCGGAAUUACGGGGCGUAAAGGGCGCGUAGGCGGCCUUCUAAGUCAGACGUGAAAUCCCCCGGCUUAACCUGGGAACUGCGUCUGAUACUGGAGGGCUUGAGUGCGGGAGAGGGAUGUGGAAUUCCAGGUGUAGCGGUGAAAUGCGUAGAUAUCUGGAGGAACACCGGUGGCGAAGGCGGCAUCCUGGACCGACACUGACGCUGAGGCGCGAAAGCGUGGGGAGCGAACAGG